CUCGGAGAGAGAAGCGCCCGAGGUCGUCCCGGGAGACGCCGAGGACGCUGGGACGCGGGGCCGCGCUCCCGGCGCGCGAGGCGCAACUACCGCUUGCCCUCCGCGGGUCCCCGCCUUACCGGAUCCGCCCAGCCCUCCCCGGUCCGCCCCGCCCCCGGGUCCUAGGCGGACCCGGCCCGCGCCGUCCGGGCGUCGUGCGCAGGCGCGGCUUGAACGUCGGGGGCCCGAGCGAAUCAGAACGUCUGAUUCUGGAGCUCCAGGGCCGUUAGUCGGUCCCAGCGAGGGGCGCCUUGGGCCUUAGGCACUCUGUAGAGGAUGAGGAAAAGAGAGGCCUGGAAGAAUAUGAUGCCUUGGCCAAGGCCUUGCAGGGUUUCAUAGAGAACUGCUCCUUCCUUCACAUACUUCUUAGUACUGUUAUUGGUGAAAGAGAAACAGAAAUUGCUGUCCAGCACCUCUUCUGAUGUCUCCCGUUUUGGUGACCCAGCCCUGGGCUCUAACAGGCUCUGUGGUAGAGUUAAUGGAGACCUCCAAGAGGACUUAGACCAAGGGGCACCUUCCAGGACUACUGUUCCAGUGCCCCCAUCCCCAUGGAGAGUCACUGCCGACCCACACCUCCGCAGAAGAUCCUCC
ensembl:lncRNA